GCACCAACCCCUGGGGAACACCACUCGUGACCGGUCGCCAGCUGGAUUUAACUCCAUUCACCACCACUCUCUGGGCCCGGCCCUCCAGCCAGCUCCUUACCCAGCAAAGAGUGUACCCGUCCAAGCCACGUGCUGCCAGCUCCUGCAUUACAACUGCUGCUGAGCGGUCGGCCCGCUCCCACGUUCAGGCUGAGCCGCUGGGCGGGGCGGAGCCGCCGCCAUGAUGGGCAGCAGCGGGGCCGGGGCGGGGCCGGGCCUGAGCGGGGGCUUUUCCGUACCACGUGACGUCAGGCGGACGCCAUAAAGCUGAGGGCAGGGAAGUCGUUGGUUGGCAGCUGUGUUUGGUGCUGUGUUUUCUGCUGUGUUUUCGCCGGUGAACGUCCCUUAGGCAAUACUCCUCCUGCAGAGGUCCAAGGAAGCGCAACGAGGGAAGUCAGGGAGCACCAGGGGAGGACAGAAGGUGAAUGUGUGGAGGCCAGAGGGAGCGUGCUGGUGGAGGCCAGAUGGAGGACGACGGAGGAAGAUGGGAAGCGCAUGCAGAGCUCCGAGGGAACACGCUGGGCGAGGCCAGAGGGAGCGCCAGUGGAAGUCCAAGACAGGAAUGAACCAGGCCCUAUAAAAUGCACUUAGCAAGCUAUCAGAGUCAGCAGAAGAGAUAUCCACCUGUGAAGAAUGGUGACACCGAGUACCAUCAAAACCAGCCUGAAGCCACCUUCAAUUGGGCCAGGAUUUUACUUCAGCAAUUUGAAGAAGCCUUUCCCAUUUAAAUGUUCUCUGAUUCUGUAAAUGAACAAUAUUAUUCAUCUUAGGUCUGUCACAUAAAGAAGAAAAAUGUACAUAUGAGUUUAAUCCCUUUGUUGGUUUAUAACCUCAGAACUCAGGCAGGAGAGUCACAAAUCCAUGUAGACAUCCCCAAGUGCUGACUUUUGCAUUUGGAUUUCUGAUUUAGUUGAAAAAUAUAUAAAAAACCUGUGUAGCCAGACAGCUCCCUAUUGGCUAGACAUCUGUAUAGGC
rnacentral:lncRNA from 1 species